CAGAUAGAUUCAGAUUUCAGGAUGUUACAACUCAGUCCCUAACCCUCAGAAACAAGCCCUGCACCCUAUUUCGAGCCUCUGGGGGUUCCAGCCUUAGGUCACCUAAGUUGCACCCCCAACAGUAGCCCUUCAACUGUUCAGUCUUGACCAGCACAACAAGACCUAAUAGUUGCUAAUGUUAAAAGAGAUCGGCAACUCAUACUCUAGAUGUAUGCCUUUGGGUGCCUUGAAUGAUGAGCUUUAAAUCGGUAGAAAACUUCACUCUUGAGCCUCGAUCAGUAGGCCUUGCUUUGAUAGCCGAUGUAGUCGUGAUUGAAGGUAGUUGUAACAUCUUCAAGCUUUCUCUUACGAGCACCGAACAAAGGAUGGACUGUUCAACCCUAGCCCUUGUUGGCCGGUGUUCAUGAGAGAAGCUUCGUCUGUAGUGGAAGUAGUCGAAGUAGUAGAUGUAGUAGUGGUGGCUGAGGCUGAAUCGUACGUGAAGUUAGUGAUGACUUCGAAGCUGACAGCGCUCCCCUCUAGGCAAUGUAGGGAUGUCAAGGUAGAUGAUGAUGCCGAGGGUAACGGUGAUACCGAGGGUGAGCCCCUCGUACCCAUGUCAAGGGUGAACCUCUAGAGCCGACGUAGCCGAAGACGUGAAGUCGAGGAUGACAUCGAGGUUGAUCCCUCGAGCUGAUGUGCUAGACGACACGAAGUCGCGGAUGAUGCUGAAGUUGAGCCCCUUGGGACGAUUACCAUAAAAAAAAUCGAAGUUGGUAUGCAGGAUUGUUAGCACCACCAGUGUCAUCUUAUCACCUUCGAUGGUGACAUCACCUUUGCCUGAGAUCCCAGCGUUGAUUUGUGCUCUCCGGAAUGU
rnacentral:lncRNA from 1 species